rnacentral:rRNA from 1 species
AGUGAACGCUGGCGGUAGGCCUAACACAUGCAAGUCGAACGGCAGCACAGUAAGAGCUUGCUCUUACGGGUGGCGAGUGGCGGACGGGUGAGGAAUACAUCGGAAUCUACUUUUUCGUGGGGGAUAACGUAGGGAAACUUACGCUAAUACCGCAUACGACCUACGGGUGAAAGCAGGGGAUCUUCGGACCUUGCGCGAUUGAAUGAGCCGAGGUCGGAUUAGCUAGUUGGCGGGGUAAAGGCCCACCAAGGCGACGAUCCGUAGCUGGUCUGAGAGGAUGAUCAGCCACACUGGAACUGAGACACGGUCCAGACUCCUACGGGAGGCAGCAGUGGGGAAUAUUGGACAAUGGGCGCAAGCAUGAUCCAGCCAUACCGCGUGGGUGAAGAAGGCCUUCGGGUUGUAAAGCCCUUUUGUUGGGAAAGAAAAGCAGCAGGUUAAUACCCCGCUGUUCUGACGGUACCCAAAGAAUAAGCACCGGCUAGCUUCGUG